rnacentral:misc_RNA from 1 species
AUAGUAAAUAAUCACUAUCAUUUAUAUUUAUAAGAGAGAUAAGGAUUAGAUAUAAAUGUAAUCAAAGAAGAUUGUAUGAGUACAAAUAAGCUUACUAAAAAAAAAUGGAUAAAAUAAAAGCUACCUUAAAAGAUAAAAGACAACUAGAGAUUGUAUUUAACAACACCACCACCCACCCCUCCCCAGCUCCCCGGUGCCCUAACCUAAAAGGCUAAAACUACCAUAUAUACAUAUCAAGAGGCUUUUU